rnacentral:rRNA from 1 species
UACGUAGGUGGCAAGCGUUAUCCGGAUUUAUUGGGCGUAAAGGGAACGCAGGCGGUCCUUUAAGUCUGAUGUGAAAGCCUUCGGCUUAACCGGAGUAGUGCAUUGGAAACUGGUAGACUUGAGUGCAGGAGAGGAGAGUGGAAUUCCAUGUGUAGCGGUGAAAUGCGUAGAUAUAUGGAGGAACACCGGUGGCGAAAGCGGCUCUCUGGCCUGUAACUGACACUGAGGCUCGAAAGCGUGGGGAGCAAACAGG